AUACGUAGGUGACAAGCGUUAUCCGGAUUUACUGGGCGUAAAGGGCGUGUAGGCGGUCUUGCAAGUCAGAAGUGAAAUUCCUGAGCUCAACUCGGGCGCUGCUUCUGAAACUGCAGGACUUGAGUGCUGAGGGGAUAGCGGAAUUCCUAGUGGAGCGGUAAAAUGCGCAGAUAUUAGGAAGAACACCGGUGGCGAAGGCGGCUAUCUGUACAGUAACUGACGCUGAGGCGCGAAGGCGUGGGGAGCAAACAGGAUUAGAUACCCUGAUAGUCCACGCCGUAAACGAUGAAUACUAGGUGUAGGGGGUAUCGACUCCCUCUGUGCCGCAGUUAACACAAUAAGUAUUCCGCCUGGGGAGUACGGCCGCAAGGUUGAAACUCAAAGGAAUUGACGGGG
rnacentral:rRNA from 1 species